CCGCGUGAGGGACGACGGCCAUCGGGUUGUAAACCUCUUUUAGUAGGGAAGAAGCGAAAGUGACGGUACCUGCAGAAAAAGCACCGGCUAACUACGUGCCAGCAGCCGCGGUAAUACGUAGGGUGCAAGCGUUAUCCGGAAUUAUUGGGCGUAAAGAGCUCGUAGGCGGUUUGUCACGUCUGCUGUGAAAACUGGAGGCUCAACCUCCAGCCUGCAGUGGGUACGGGCAGACUAGAGUGCGGUAGGGGAGAUUGGAAUUCCUGGUGUAGCGGUGGAAUGCGCAGAUAUCAGGAGGAACACCGAUGGCGAAGGCAGAUCUCUGGGCCGUAACUGACGCUGAGGAGCGAAAGCAUGGGGAGCGAACAGGAUUAGAUACCCUGGUAGUCCAUGCCGUAAACGUUGGGAACUAGAUGUAGGGACCAUUCCACGGUUUCUGUGUCGCAGCUAACGCAUUAAGUUCCCCGCCUGGGGAGUACGGCCGCAAGGCUAAAACUCAAAGGAAUUGACGGGGGCCCGCACAAGCGGCGGAGCAUGCGGAUUAAUUCGAUGCAACGCGAAGAACCUUACCAAGGCUUGACAUAUACGAGAACGGGCCAGAAAUGGUCAACUCUUUGGACACU
rnacentral:rRNA from 1 species